rnacentral:rRNA from 1 species
UACCUGUUCCCAUGUCGAACACAGAAGUCAAGCUUCUUAACGCCGAGAGUAGUUGGGGGAUCGCCCCCUGCGAGGGUAGGACGUUGCCAUGC